rnacentral:misc_RNA from 1 species
AAGUCGUAACAAGGUUUCCGUAGGUGAACCUGCGGAAGGAUCAUUAGCGAGAGCCUGCCGCAGACUCGUGCGAGUCUGUGCGCAAGCGCGCCAUCCUUGUGUUGUGUGUGACGUGUUGUGUGCGCAAUGCCACUGUUGCCAAGGUGGCGGUGGCGUCUGCGCAUGCGCAUUUUUUUCACUCCAUUUCAUCGCAUUUAUUCUAAUUACUGCUGCUCGCAUGAGCACAAACAACCGAAAACUGCCAGCAAUGGAUCACUCGGUUCUC